GGUUCGAUGCCACGUCGCCGGUAGCCAAAGUUGCAUUGACCGGCGAUGCUAUGAUCGGACCUAUAACAAGCUUCCGCGUUUCGCAUCAUUAUAGGAACCUGUGAACUGAUAAGUUUUCGUUCAUUCACAGAGCCGGUUUUUGCGAUUACAUUC